GUGGAUUAGAUACCCUGGUAGUCCACGCCCUAAACUAUGUCAACUAGUUGUCGGGUCUUAUUAGAUUUGGUAACGUAGCUAACGCGUGAAGUUGACCGCCUGGGGAGUACGGUCGCAAGAUUAAAACUCAAAGGAAUUGACGGGGACCCGCACAAGCGGUGGAUUAUGUGGAUUAAUUCGAUGCAACGCGAAAAACCUUACCUACCCUUGACAUGUCAGAAAGUUUUCAGAGAUGAAAUCGUGCUCGAAAGAGAAUCUGAACACAGGUGCUGCACGGCGGUCGCCAGCU
rnacentral:rRNA from 1 species